rnacentral:lncRNA from 1 species
UAACGGAGAAAUCAACGUCUAUUCGGUUCCUCCUGGCCACGGCCUUCACCAUCUGGGUCAUGAAGACCAGGUCCUGCUGGUCCUGGUUGAAGGACGGAUUCUCCCUCCUGAUCUGGUCUCUCAGUCUCUCACUGAGUUGCUGGAUUUCUCUUUCUAUUUCAUUACUCCUGUCCUCAGUCUCCUCCGCCUGUUCCAUUGGGCCGCCGGACACAAAGUGCUCCGUGAUCUUAGUUCCCAUGGUGACGGCCACGCCCACUCCGGGGACGCCGCUGACGAGGACAGUCCGAGGCCUUACAAUUCUCCCUCUGACUGAUCCACCAGCACCUCUCCUCCAGGAGGUCGUCUGCGGUGUCCAUGAUGGAGAAACACCAUUCCUCUGAAUAUUCUGCUGCUCUGGCGCCACCUUCAGGGCUGCAGGGUGUUGGAGCCAAUUCCAGCUGCUUACAGUUGGAGGGCGGGGUCCACCAGGACAGGUCCUGUUCAAACCUUU